GACGGAAGGUGCAAGCGUUGCUCGGAAUCACUGGGCGUAAAGGGUGCGUAGGCGGCCUCUUAAGUCUGGCGUGAAAGCCCAGGGCUUAGCCCUGGAAGUGCUCUAGAAACUGAGAGGCUAGAGUGCCGGAGGGGAGAGUGGAAUUCCCGGUGUAGCGGUGAAAUGCGUAGAUAUCGGGAGGAAUACCGGUGGCGAAAGCGACUCUCUGGACGGCAACUGACGCUGAGGCACGAAAGCGUGGGGAGCAAACAGG
rnacentral:rRNA from 1 species